ACACAUCAAAACUGUCUAUAAAUACAAAUUUUUCUAUUUUCUUUCAUUUUUCUUGAUUUCCAUUUCUUCAACAAUAACUAGGCAGCAAAUCUUGAUUUCCUUUGUCUUUAUUUUUUGCAAUGAUGAUUGAUGAUUUCUUGAGCCUGAAAAUAGAAAACUCAUUUGAUUAGAUCCCAUACACAAUCAAACUUUUUGUGAGGUGAGGCUCACUUCGUUCAAUGAUCUUGGUUCGAUGAUCUUGCUUCUGAGUUUCAAAGACCAUGUAAACAUGGGAUUACGAAAAACAGUUUAUAG